ensembl:lncRNA
UUGCGUCUUGUGCUGUACGUGCUUGUGCUGUACGUCCUUGUGUGUGUGUGUUUUUUUUUAUUGCCCAAGGAGGGACGUGUUGUCUCCCAGGUCCGGCUCCAGUCAGUACUGCAGUGGAUUAGUCAGCUGCAUUUAGUGCAGAGGCAGAGCAGCAGCUUCGGGGCCGGCGUGCGAGUGUCUGAUCUUCAAGAUGCAGCGCAUCUACAUGCACAGCAAUGAACACUUUGAAGUCUUCACCACUGUCCUUGCUCCUCAAGGGAGGCAUCGGUACAGGGCAGAAGCGGAGACGAUGGUAGUAGUGCACAGCUACCGGCCAAACUGGCCCGACGAGCUGGAGCUGUCUCUGGGUGACGUCAUCCUGGUGCUGCCCAAGCGCGAGGAGGAGAGGUGGUACGGGCGGCUGCAGGGCGGCCAGCAGGGAUACUUCCCCGCCUCCUGUGUGAUGGAGCUGAGCCAGGUUGGUUGGCCUCGUGCCGGAUGUGCUCAGCAAUGUGCGCGCGCUGCCGUUUAAUGUCUUCUUAUCGAUAAAGAAAAUAGCGGUGAUGACGUCACAGCAAUGUCAUCAAGCUCUAUUUUAGCCUAAACAAUAGGAAACUAAAAGCCUAAAUUACAUGCGGUUGCGUUUCAAAUAAGUGGGCAUUUACAGCAGGGAGAGUGCAAUGAAAACAGGUAUUGCGUUGCAUUGUGGGAAGUGUAGUACCAUUUGAGCUGGAGUUCUCCAUCUUCAAGAGAGGACGCCAGAGGAAGUCUAAAGUUUAUUUCAUGACAUCUGUUGGACAUUUCUUCAGGCGGAACCUUCCUUCCCAAAGCCCUACGGAGGUCUUUGUCUCUGAGGGGCUCGGCGAGGCGACGACCUCAGGUGUCCGCCGCCGGAAUGGACACAUUGGGCAGGCCCUGCGGAGGGGAAGCAGAGGAGUUGGAGGAGGAACGGUGCUGGACGGGGGCCAAGGUGAGAACGAGGGCCCCUUACCGGCGAGGAGGCCCCGGAUCACUGCGCCGCAGCCCGUGGCCUCCCAACCUGCGACACACAGAUCCCCGAGUCUGCUCCACAGGAUCUUGUCCAAAUGCCGGAAAAAGAGUGAAUGCCGGGGCGCCACCAACGGGGCCUUCGAGGGCGACUAAGAGGCCCCCCUCUUUGUUCACUUCGGUGGGGCUGCGUUGUAUGUUGAAUGUGGGUGAACGGAGGAAUAUCUAAAGUGUGAAAAUACAGGAUCUUAUAUAUCGUCAUGUGGGCCCAUAUUCAUUUCCACUCCAGGUCUUCAGGACUUGGCUGCAUCAGUAGAAGCGAGAGGAUGAAUUGUGAGUGUAUGAACUUAAAUCGAUGAUGUCACACAGGGGGUUUUGCAUUGGUCUUGUGUGACAAGUGUAACAAGGUUUAAUGUACAGAGAGCUGAGCAGCUGCUGUUUUCUUCCCUAUGUUUUCAUCGUGACAAGAUCAAAUGCAGGUUUUAAGUUCAUAAUGGAAAUAUUACUAUAUAUAUAUAUAUAUAUAUAUAUAUAUACACCAAUUAUGGUAAUAAUAACAAAAUAAUCUUAUGACAAAAUAAGAAUUAGUGUCAGUCAAUGAAGCAACGAGAUAUUUAACCGAUCAAAUGUAGCCUUAAGAGGAAUGUUAUUAAUAUUGUCUGUGCACAUUCUGUUCGAUUAUGCAUAUUUAUAUUUAUAUACUAUGUCUGCUCAUUUCUAAACUGUUGAUAUCUGUAUAUUUUCCUGCUUAACAUCAAAUCAUUUUAUAAGUAUAAAACCCACAGACCCUCACAGACUAAGAUCUUUUCAUUUCAGUGUACAUGCCUCAGUAUAUUACCUCAUAAAUUGGCCUCUUUUCUUUUUUCUUCAACCACCCUCGGCCCCG